UUUCUCGCUUCCUCUUCUUUUUCUUACCCUGGAAGAUAACGGCCAAAGGGAGAGAACUGUGUGGGGUUCCUGAUCUUCUUGGACAGGGUCCCAAGUCUCACUGAAAAUCUAACACAGCUAUGAAGACUCUUCACAGAAGAAAAGCAAGCAAGAACGUACAUUGAACAACCUGCCCAGUUUCAGGGCGUUUGUUAGAAGUGCCAGCAGCGGCUCGCACGCUGGUCUUUGAGCCCCAGGGUGGGAAGCCUUGGCCAGAGACACUGUGACCAGCAGAGCUAGCACACAGCUCACACGGCACCCUGAAUUACAGAACGAAAGGUUGAGUCCGCUUCCAAUGGGACGGGCACAAAUUUAAGUCUGUCCUCAGGACACCAAAACCAAGACCUUGUUGAUCUCCUGAGAAUUAAAGUGACUUCCUUCCGUCUAGGGAAA